rnacentral:rRNA from 1 species
CCUACGGGAGGCAGCAGUGAGGAAUAUUGGUCAAUGGCCGGAAGGCUGAACCAGCCAAGCCGCGUGAAGGACGAAGGUGCCAAGCAUUGUAAACUUCUUUUGUCAGGGACGAAACAAAUGACGGUACCUGACGAAUAAGCCACGGCUAACUACGUGCCAGCAGCCGCGGUAAUACGUAGGUGGCAAGCGUUAUCCGGAUUUACUGGGUGUAAAGGGCGUGUAGGCGGGAGAGCAAGUCAGAUGUGAAAUUCCAGGGCUCAACCCUGGAACUGCAUUUGAAACUGUUUUUCUUGAGUGAUGGAGAGGCAGGCGGAAUUCCGUGUGUAGCGGUGAAAUGCGUAGAUAUACGGAGGAACACCAGUGGCGAAGGCGGCCUGCUGGACAUUAACUGACGCUGAGGCGCGAAAGCGUGGGGAGCAAACAGGAUUAGAUACCCGUGUAGUC